rnacentral:rRNA from 1 species
AAGAGACAGCAGUCGCCGCGGGAAUACAGAGGGUGCGAGCGUUAAUCGGAUUUACUGGGCGUAAAGCGUGCGUAGGCGGCUUUUUAAGUCGGAUGUGAAAUCCCUGAGCUUAACUUAGGAAUUGCAUUCGAUACUGGGAAGCUAGAGUAUGGGAGAGGAUGGUAGAAUUCCAGGUGUAGCGGUGAAAUGCUUAGAGAUCUGGAGGAAUACCGAUGGCGAAGGCAGCCAUCUGGCCUAAUACUGACGCUGAGGUACGAAAGCAUGGGGAGCAAACAGGAUUAGAUACCCCCGUAGUCCCUGUCUCUUAUAA